GAGCAGAUGAUGAGCUGAUUCAACUGUAAAUUGCUGAUUGGCGAUUCCAUGAAGCUAUUACAAAUCGAGCUUUUUAAAACUGAUGCUCA